UACAGAGGCCUCGAGCGUUAGGCGGAAUCACUGGGCUUAAAGCGUGUGUAGGCGGAUUGGUAAGUACCUUGUGAAAUCCCACAGCUUAACUGUGGAACUGCUCGGUAUACUGCUGAUCUUGAGCCACUUAGGGGCUACCGGAACAAAUGGUGGAGCGGUGAAAUGCGUAGAUAUCAUUUGGAACGCCAAUGGUGAAAACAGGUAGCUGGGAGUGUGCUGACGCUGAGACACGAAAGCCAGGGGAGCAAACGGG
rnacentral:rRNA from 1 species